AGCCCAGCGUGAAGGCCUCAUCACUCCGGUGUUGAGGCGGUGCCACGUUAGUGACUUGUCAUAAUGCUUUGCUGAAGCUUCGUGAAUGCUUUUGAAUAAGCUUCAUUCUAGCCGAAGAGGGUGCAAGCCCCUUGGCGUUGUGGAGGCAAAGCAUAGACUUGUCAUGAUAGAGUCGGGUUGCUUGAAAGUGCAACCUAAAGUAGAUGGUAAGCUCCAUCUAAGGCUAAAUAUCGCUGUGAGACCGAUAGCAAACAAGUACCGUGAGGGAAAGUUGCAAAGAACUUUGAAGAGAGAGUUCAAUAGGACGUGAAACCGUUUGCAGGUAAACAGAUGGACCCACGAAGUCCGGUUGAUCAGAGAAUUCAAAUUUUGCAAUUUGUUCUCUACUGAUGAUUGUCUUCUUGAUGAAGGCAAUUAUUGGUGUGAGUGCUUUUGCGAGAUGCAUUUUCUCUGGUCACGAUGGAGCUCUGACUGCUAAGUGACUUUCAUUGUGUAGAGCAGCCUCUUGCUGAGAGAUGUUCCUUAGGGUUCAAUUCUGCAGCUUGAGGUAACAGUGAAGUUAUUUCAAGUGGUUGAAUAACUUGCCUCGGUGAGUGUUCAGGUUGUCGGUGAUGACUUUGAGCAGUGCUUGCAGGUUUUCAUUCUUUCGGC
rnacentral:rRNA from 1 species